UAUUCUUUCUUCUUUUUCUUUCUCCUCCUCCUCUUCUCCCGACUUCUUCUCCUCCCCCCCUUUCUUUCUUCUUCUUUCUUCUCCCGUGAAGGGAGGUCGGCGAGCUCGGAAGAAGCCAAGUUGAGGCCGGCGACGCUCGCGACGGCCGGCGCGCUCCUUCUUCCUGCGGAGGAGGCAUGCAGACGGGAGGAGAAGAAGACCCCGCGACGCCCCGGUGAAGGUCCGGCAGCUUCCUCCCUCUCCGGCGGCUCCUUCCUCUCCGACGGCAAUGGUGGAAGAGGAAGACCACCCGUGCCAAAGCUAUCCCGAUUUUAAUGGCUCUCUCCCUCUCUCUCAGCCGGCAACCCAAGGAAGAAGACCCCCCGACUAGACGCGGCGGCUGUGGUUCGGAUGGCUUCAAGGAGAAGGAGAGGAAGCCCUAAAAACAGGGCUUCCUUCUGCUUCGGGAUGGAAGGAAUUCCAUCCCGUUGCCUAAGGUUUGGGACUGGGCCGGUCAAAUGGACCGGGCCCAGUUCCAGGGUCUCACAUCUUUUAUCAUAUAUUGUCACAGGAAGGAACACUGCUGACCUUUGUACUCGAUUCGGGAUGUAAAAUAGGUUGUGUGCUGGGACCAGAUGGAGUGUGCUUUGAGGUGGGGGAGGGGGUGGCGCUGGGGAGGGCAGAGUCGGAAGGCGAAGGAAGAUGCGAGGGCAGGAGCGUGAGCAACAAGAAUGGAGACCAUUUUUUCCCCCUCUGAAGUGAAAUAGUUAUGCCAAGAUUUUGGAUGGCAAAAACGAAACUUACUUGGACUCGUGAUUUAUGUUUAUAUUAAUUAUUGUGCAAGCUCUUUAAGUUGCAGAAGUUUUAGAAAAUUUGCUUAAUCUCUAGAAAAGACAAUUGCAUUUCAAUAAACUCUCUUUCAAUGCAUAGUAUUGUUUGCUGCCUCAGACAAUCAUUAGCCAUGUUCUAGAGAGUGAUACUUAUCUUGUAAUAUCAUGCAUGAAGAGAAAGAGGUUGCAUAUAUUGGACUGAAUUAUUUUUUUGACGAAA